rnacentral:rRNA from 1 species
UACGGGGGGAGCAAGCGUUGUUCGGAUUUACUGGGCGUAAAGGGCGCGUAGGCGGUCAGCACAAGUCAGUUGUGAAAUCUCCGGGCUUAACUCGGAAAGGUCAACUGAUACUGUGCGACUAGAGUGCAGAAGGGGGCAACUGGAAUUCUCGGUGUAGCGGUGAAAAUGCGUAGAGAUGUGGAGGAACACCAGUGGCGAAGGCGGCUUUUUUUGGUCUGUAACUGACGCUGAGGCGCGAAAAGCGUGGGGGAGCAAAACAGGG